GUAUAAUGUGUUAGUAGAAUAAUGUGUUAGCAGUAUAAUGUGUUAGUAGUAUAAUGUGUUAGUAGUAUAAUGUGUUAGUAUAUUGUGUUAGUAGUAUAAUAUGGUAGUAGUAUAAUGUGGUAGUAGUAUAAUGUGGUAGUAGUAUAAUAUGUUAGUAUAAUGUGGUAGUAUAUUGUGUUAGUAUAAUGUGGUAGUAGUAUAAUGUGUUAGGAGUAUAAUGUGUCAGGGGUAUAAUGUGUUAGUAUAUAAUGUGUUAGUAGUAUAAUGUGGUAGUAGUAUAAUGUGUUAGUAUAAUGUGGUAGUAGUAUAAUGUGUUAGUAGUAUAAUGUGUUAGUAGUAUAGUGUGUCAGGGGUAUAAUGUGUUAGUAGUAUAAUGUGUUAGUAGUAUAAUGUGUUAGCAUAAUGUGUUAGUAUAAUGUGUUAGUAGUAUAAUGUGUUAGUAGUAUAAUGUGUUAGUAGUAUAAUGUGUUAGUAUAAUGUGUUAGUAUAGUGUGUUAGUAGUAUAAUGUGUUGGUAGUAUAGUGUGUCAGGGGUAUAAUGUGUUAGUAGUAUAACGUGUUAGUAGUAUAAUGUGUUAGUAGUAUAGUGUGUCAGGGGUAUAAUGUGUCAGGGGUAUAAUGUGUUAGUAGUAUAAUGGGUUAGUGUAGUGUGUCAGGGGUAUUGUCACGUCCUGGCCAGUAUAAGGGAUAAUUGGUAUUGUAGUUUGGUCAGGACGUGGCAGAGGGUAUUCGUUUUAUGGUAUUCGGCGUGGUGUGUUUGUUGUAGGGGAUUUGAUUUGUGUAUUCCGGAG
rnacentral:lncRNA from 1 species